rnacentral:rRNA from 1 species
GAUGAACGCUAGCGGCAGGCCUAAUACAUGCAAGUCGGACGGGAUUUGGGAGCUUGCUCCUAAUGAGAGUGGCGCACGGGUGCGUAACACGUAUGUAACCUACCUUAAUCAGGGGGAUAGCCUCUCGAAAGAGAGAUUAACACCGCAUAAUAUAUUUUUAUGGCAUCGUAGAAAUAUCAAAUAUUUAUAGGAUUAAGAUGGGCAUGCGGAACAUUAGCUAGUUGGUAAGGUAACGGCUUACCAAGGCUACGAUGUUUAGGGGAUCUGAGAGGAUGACCCCCCACACCGGUACUGAGACACGGACCAGACUCCUACGGGAGGCAGCAGUAAGGAAUAUUGGUCAAUGGGCGCAAGCCUGAACCAGCCAUGCCGCGUGCAGGAAGACGGCCCUAUGGGUUGUAAACUGCUUUUGUACCGGAACAAACCCUUUUACGUGUAGAAGGCUGAAUGUACGGUAAGAAUAAGGAUCGGCUAACUCCGUGCCAGCAGCCGCGGUAA